rnacentral:rRNA from 1 species
CCUACGGGGGGCAGCAGUGGGGAAUAUUGGGCAAUGGGCGCAAGCCUGACCCAGCAACGCCGCGUGAAGGAAGAAGGCUUUCGGGUUGUAAACUUCUUUUGUCAGGGAAGAGUAGAAGACGGUACCUGACGAAUAAGCCACGGCUAACUACGUGCCAGCAGCCGCGGUAAUACGUAGGGAGCGAGCGUUGUCCGGAAUUACUGGGUGUAAAGGGAGCGUAGGCGGGGAUGCAAGUUGGGUGUCAAAACUACCGGCUCAACUGGUAGUCGCACUCAAAACUGCAGCUCUUGAGUGAAGUAGAGGCAGGCGGAAUUCCUAGUGUAGCGGUGAAAUGCGUAGAUAUUAGGAGGAACACCAGUGGCGAAGGCGGCCUGCUGGGCUUUUACUGACGCUGAGGCUCGAAAGUGUGGGGAGCAAACAGGAUUAGAUACCCUAGUAGUC